CGGAGUAUAGCCAGGUUGUAAGGCAUCGGCCUUUGAUGCCGAUAAACAAAGCUUCCAAUACUUUUACUCCAG
rnacentral:tRNA from 1 species